rnacentral:rRNA from 1 species
UACGAAGGGGGCUAGCGUUGUUCGGAUUUACUGGGCGUAAAGCGCACGUAGGCGGAUCGUUAAGUUAGGGGUGAAAUCCUGGAGCUCAACUCCAGAACUGCCUCUAAUACUGGCGAUCUAGAGUCCGGAAGAGGUGAGUGGAACUCCUAAUGUAGAGGUGGAAUUCGUAGAUAUUAGGAAGAACACCAGUGGCGAAGGCAGGUCUCUGGGCCGAUACUGACGCUGAGGAGCGAAAGCGUGGGGAGCGAACAGG